rnacentral:lncRNA from 1 species
AGGAUGGGCAAGGCUCAGCUUCUCCUUCUGGAAACGUAGCUCAUCUCCAAAGAAGACCAGUUCAUUUUCUACUAUGGACAAUGUGGAUGGUAGUUCUCUUGUGCUCACAGGUGUGGAAACGGUCUGUAGCCUGCAGGAGCCUGAGGAGAAGGGAGGAGCCAGCAGCCCCAGUCAAGUCUAGCACAGUGCAUCUUGGCCUGCAGUGAUGGCUGUUUCCCCUGGAAAGUUCUUCCAAACCUGGAUCCCACUUCGACUGAACCUUACAAAAUCUACUGCUGGACUUUCCAAUGGCAUGAGUUGGUAAAUCAUCUCAUUUUUGCAUAAGCAAGUGUAACUUGAGUUUCCAUCACUUGCAGCUGAGAGAAUACUUGUUCUUGAAUUUUAUCCACAAUGAGGUGCUGGAUGUUUUCUAUUUGCCACAUGAACUCACUCUCUGCCUUUCCUGUCUUGCUGUCUACUCUUACUGAUUCUUUUUUCCUUUCUGCCUUGGUUUCCAGUUGGCUCUGGCCAAUGAUAGAAGACGAUAAAAGAGCGAGAGAGAA